GGGUGAGGAAAUGGCGGCCGCGGGCGGCGCUGUGGCCACCGGGUGUUCUCUGCCCGUCGCGACCCCGGUGGGCUCAUCCCGCCCGCUUUCCAGCGCCGCAAGCUGAGGGAUCGGCAGCGGGAUCGGCACAGCGGGGCCGCCCGGCUGUGAGGGGCGCGGGGGCUACAAGCGCUGUGGGUCUUGCUGCGCGCCUUGGGUCCUGCCGCACUCUUGUGCUUGCUCUUUCCGGAGCUCUCGAGGUGUUGCGCACACGCCGCCUGUGGAGGGUAGGAAGUACCUUUGUACCACUGAUCUGGGAAAUGUUCCUUCUCAUUUCACAAAGACCAGAAAAGACAGAGAUAAAGAAAUGGAAAGUGCUACAAUCAAAAUAGCAAAGACAAAGGCUGUCCAAUUAGGUCAUGUGCAAAACAACCAGAAUUCCAAAAUGUCUCCUGAGUGUUAUUGAGACAUGGAUUACUUUGGGCUUCAGAGGCCAGGGAAGGAGAAUCAGCAGUCUGAGCAGGGCCUAACCAUGACCAAGAAGAUGAGGAGCAGUUCACACCUCCUCUGGCCAAGCCCAGUCAGGGUGUUCUGCCUGAGCUUCCUGUUGAGGGUGAUACUCCAGCAAGAGCUGCCUUUCAAAAUUUGGAAAUUCAACCAGUGUGGACAAAAGUAUCAACGUUUAUGUUUGUCUUUAAUUUUUGCAUUUCAGUAGUUCAGAUUUCACUGAAAAUUCAUUGAGAUCUUCAGCACAUGGAAGAUUAGAAUCAGUAAUAUAGUAUCAUAAUGAAGAGUAAUUAAGGUGUUUCCUGGAUACCAGAAGGCAAUCAAGGAAAGCUCUUGUCUUUUUUUCCCAAGUCUCAUCUGGUGCUAUUAAGAUUAAAUGAAGCGCAACUCAUGGUUAAUGAAGUUUUUAUUAUUCUACUACAAAAAAAUUUUGUCUCUUAAAAUGCUUCCAUUUUGCCUUUCAUACACAGUUUCUGUCCAUACUUUGUCUAUUUUAGUGGAGUCAUAUGCCAUAUUUAGCCUAGACAAACGAUUUUAAAUUUUACUAAUUGCAAAAUAGUAAUAGUGUGUCAAGUAGACACACUAGUGUGUCUUCUCUAUAUAUUGUCAGCCUGCUUCACAUGGCUUUAAGUUCAUCUAAGACUCUUUCCACUACUGCACAGAAAACAAAUGGCCUUUCAGGGAAAUACCUAUCAGUGUUUCAAUCACUGCUGCUGCUUUUCAGUAAGGAUUAUUAAAAAUCUCAAACUUUAUUCUCCUAGAAGUACAGAACAACUGCACUUUAGUCAUUUUAGAUGCUGAAAUCUGGUUUAAGAGGGUGAUUUGUAGCAGUAGGUACUACAGUGAUUAAUGAGAUUCCAGUAGCUUUUCCCUAGCUUCCUGCCUAGAGAAAAAAAAUAACAAACAAAUAAAAAAACCCACCCCAAACCCAUAAUGGCAGGUUAGUUGUGUGCCUUUUGCUGCUUUUUGUGAAAUGUUAAUAGACUCUAAAGGUCUCAUUUUUGAAUGAGAACCAUUUAAGCAAGAAUUUUAGCAGAUGCAGAGGACAUUCAAGGAACUUCUGAAAAUUCCUUAUGUUCUGCUUUAUAAAGUCUGUUAUGCACAUUUGGCACAAGCUGUGAAUCUAACCUGAUUUCCAAGCAUUUAAACAGUCCAAAAAAAAAAGCCAUUUCUGUAAUACAGUUAUAUUUUCCCUUUUUUUUUUUCAAGUGCAUAUUAACUACACAUCUGAAGAAACAAUAUUGUACUCCUUUAUUUUAGAUGUAGGUAGCAGUCACAAGAGAUUAAAUGCAGUUAUGUGUAACAAAGCAUGAAGAUGACAAGAUGCAUGAACCAGAGGCUUUUUUAGCUCAAUCACAUCAUCCAGUACAUAAUGAUUCAGAUUUUGUAUUUCAGACACCAAUGUCACCUUGGGGUUGAAAUCACUCUGGUUGAAUCUGUGUAAGUAUAAAUAAGAUAGUUCCCCACACCCCAAUUACCUUCCUACUUUAAAAAUAGAAAGGAAAAUGAGUCGUCCUGAGUUUAGAGAUGAGUUAUUUGUGUGUGGUAUUUGUGAUGGAAAAUUCUUUCUAAAAUAAACACAGUAAUAAAUGGUCGUCUUUUUUCCUCUCAUACUUAAGGGGACAGGCUGCUUCUAGUGACAGAGUACUAGACUAGACUGAUCCUGGUCUCUUUUAGGGUGUCAGUACAUGACUAAUACAUACAGCACUAUAUCUUAGAGUCAUUAAUUGUGUAAAGAAGAAUAUUUUUCUGUAGUUUUUCUAUUAAAUUUCUUUAAAGCCGCAUGUAGAACGUUACUUCCCAUGUUGUAUUUUAGUUCCAGCAACUCUAAUAUGGAUGAUAUGCUGAUGAGCUUUUGAAAUCCUGAAAAACAUGAAUUUGACAGGGAGCCUAGAUAGGACUUUAAAAAAUAUUACAAAUAAUUUAACUACUAUUACAAAAUUUUUAUAAAUGCUGAAUAACGGAGUCAUUUAAUAAAUGCAUUAGCCUCUAUUAAUUUAGUUUCUUCACUUCAUUACAGAAGGAUACUAUUGAUCCAAAAUUUAUUAGCAGUGUUCUGCUAAGGCCAGCGGAGGGCAGGCUUGAAUUGGAAACUCUUUUUAUUACUGCAGUUACUCGAAGUUAAAAUACCAGAUAGUGCCUCAUCACUUCUCUACUAUUCUAGUUACCCAUGUGCUGGAUAAAAGCUUCUUUGCAGUUGCUGUUUGACAAAAUGAGUGUUUUGCGAAUGUUUAAAUAAAG